ACUCAAAUGAAUAGACGGGGACCCGCACAAGCGGUGGAGCAUGUUGUUUAAUUCGAUGAUACGCGAGGAACCUUACCAGCCUUUGACAUGUACAUUAUACUUUCUGGAAACAGAUCGUUUCGGUUCGGCCGGGUGUACACAGGUGUUGCAUGGCCGUCGUCAGCUCGUGUCGUGAGAUGUUGGGUUAAGUCCCGCAACGAGCGCAACCCCUAUUGUUAGUUGCUACCAUUUAGUUGAGCACUCUAACGAGACUGCCGAUGAUAAAUCGGAGGAAGGUGGGGAUGACGUCAGGUCAUCAUGGCCCUUACAGGCUGGGCUACAAACGUGCUACAAUGGCAGUGACAGAGGGUCGCUACUUCGCGAGAAGAUGCAAAUCCUUAAAAGCUGUCUCAGUUCAGAUUGCAGGCUGCAACUCGCCUGCAUGAAGUCGGAAUCGCUAGUAAUCGCAGAUCAGCAACGCUGCGGUGAAUACGUUCCCGGGUCUUGCACACACCGCCCGU
rnacentral:rRNA from 1 species